rnacentral:rRNA from 1 species
UACGGAGGGUGCAAGCGUUGUCCGGAAUCACUGGGCGUAAAGGGCGCGUAGGCGGCUCAUGAAGGCUGUGGUGAAAGUCCGGGGCUCAACCUCGGAUCGGCCGUGUCGACUCGUGGGCUGGAGCACUGUAGAGGCGGGUGGAAUUCCGGGUGUAGCGGUGGAAUGCGUAGAGAUCCGGAAGAACACCAGUGGCGAAGGCGGCCCGCUGGGCAGUGGCUGACGCUGAGGCGCGACAGCGUGGGGAGCAAACAGG